GGAACAGGGCAGUUCUUCACUCUUCAGACUGAGGCCAGUUGCACCUGGGAAGAGGAUCACACUGCUGGCAAGCUCAGACCCCAGAGGGAUGAGGUCCCAUCUCUGCACUCUGCUCCAAGACCCAGAGAUGGAGGGAAUCAGGGCCAACUCUGCCUUGCUGAUGAACAGAGAAAAGGGGAGGCAGCAGCAGAAAUUUUGGGGAAAACGAGAUCCAGACCUCCCUGAGACCAGCAGAAGACCGUGAUGGAUGUGGGGAAGAAAAGGUGCACUUCAAUAUUCAUACACCCUUCCCCAACCCAGCAAAGCUGUUCCUCAGCUCCCUCUCUUCCAGCUCUCUGCCUACAAAGAAAUCUGGAUUAAGGAGUUAGGUGUAUUUAACAAAGACUUCGGCCCAGGACCUUGCCCCAGAGUGUGAAUUGCCCUCUUUUUUU